GCCCCUUCAAGGAUGAACUCACAACCCUGGCUUUUGCAGGCCAGUGCUCAAACACUGAGCUUUCCCUUCCCCCAUGGAUACAAGGGUCCACUAACUCUUCUGUACUGUAUAGCAUAAAGAGUUGUGGGGCCAGUGUUGGCUGGGGAAACUUUAGUGAUACAGCUCCUCUGGAGUAAUGGAGACUUGGAUGGAGUGGUCUCUAGAACUUGAGGGGGGGAGGGGAGUGGGAAUAGUAGGAAAUGAAGCCUUAAAUGCUCAAAAGCUCAAUAGUAUUCUGGAGUUGAGCAUUAACAGUUUUAGUUUAAUAUAAGUCAUAGCUUGGAUGUAGUACCUUAUUAAAAAUAGCAGUUUUGUAGUAUGACUUCAUAUUAUAGCAGGGGUUCUCAAACUGGGGGUUGGGACCCCUCAGGGGUUGUGAGAUCACUACAUUGGGGGGACGUGGUUUGUGAGCUGUCAGCCUCCAUGCAAACCCUACUUGCCUUCAGCAUUAUAAUGUUUUUAAUUUAUAUGGGGGGGUCGCACUCAGAGACUUGCUGUGUGAAAGGGGUUGCCAGUUAAAAAAAAAAAAAAAAAAAAAAGCUUGAGACUCACUGUAUUAUAGAAACCUUCAGUCGAUUGUUUAACUGUAGGUUAAACUGAAUACAACUCCUUCCAACAAAAAAGGAAGAACCAGGCUAAUGGAAGAAUGGGUUGUUGACUUAACUGUGCUAGUAUCUUGGUUUGAAGCUGGAUAGUUACACUGCAAGCUGGUAGUGAAUAAAAUAGAAUUUUGGGGAUUACCUGCACCUGUUAGGUGAGGUGCAGCUAGCUGCUCAACUCUUCACAACUGAAAGAAGAAUGGAUAGUAAAAACUCAGAGGAGAAAGAUAAUCUGAUACUUUGUGUAUUUUCUCACAUCUCUAGAUCAGAUAGGGUGUCUUAAAGACAUGGUGGGUAAAGGUGACCAGUUCCACAAAUAGCUGCAACUGGAUUUGCGAACACUCUGUCCAAAGUUGAAGUACCACUUAACUAAUUGUUCUUCUUGUGUGUUUCUGCCAUUAGGCAAGAUGUUUGGAAUUGGG